rnacentral:lncRNA from 1 species
CAGAAACUGAACUUAAGCAAGCUCUGUGGCUAACUUCUGUGUACGAGAAAUAUGAGGAAUAGAAGAACAAAUUAGGUGGCAGCCCCAGAAAAAAAACAAAUUCAAAACAUGGCAUGUUCUGUACGACAACUGACCCAGUUUCUGAAACAAGAAAAAUAUAGCAUGAAGACAUUUAAUCUUAAAACAGAUACUUGGAAGAUAUGAUAUCCAUUAAUUCAACCUAUAUUUAUAGAGCCCUUAUGAUGAAUCAAGCAUAGUCCUAGAUGCUAAUACAGAGGU